UACGUGAGGGGCGACCGUUGUUCGGUGUCACUGGGCUUAAAGGGUGCGUAGGUGGUUUGAUAAGUUAUCUGUGAAAUUCCUGGGCUUAACCUGGGCCGGUCAGAUAAGACUGUUAGACUUGAGUAUGGGAGAGGGUAGUGGAAUUUCCGGUGUAGCGGUGAAAUGCGUAGAGAUCGGAAGGAACACCAGUGGCGAAGGCGGCUACCUGGCCCAAUACUGACACUGAGGCACGAAAGCGUGGGGAGCAAACAGG
rnacentral:rRNA from 1 species